rnacentral:rRNA from 2 species
GGACUACAAGGGUAUCUAAUCCCGUUUGCUCCCCUGGCUUUCGCACCUCAGCGUCAGUAACCAACCAGUGCACCGCUUUCGCCGCCGGCGUUCCUCCCGAUAUCAACGCAUUUCACCGCUCCACCGGGAAUUCCAUGCACCCCUUUGGUCCUCAAGCAACGCAGUAUCGGACGCAGUUCCUCGGUUGGGCCGAGGGAUUUCACAUCCGACUUACGCCGCCGCCUACGUGCGCUUUAUGCCCAGUGAUUCCGAACAACGCUCGCCACCUUCGUCUUACCGCGGCGGCUGGCAC